rnacentral:misc_RNA from 1 species
AUGGCUUCUCCACAGUUCUGCUUCUGCCAUGCUGUUGCUGCCAAUCCACUGCCCAUGGCUCCAAAGCAAGCUCUUUGCUCUCUAAUACUAAAAUCACCAUUUUCAUCUUCCAUUACGAGGUCUGCAAAGUCUCAUUAUCAUCGAAAUUGUUGUUAUAGUUGCACAGUCGAUGCAUGUGUCGAUGUCAAAGAACUGAGAAGCCCAGACCUGGUGGCCUUGGAGUACGCUGACCUAAACCUCACUGAUAAAAUUUCUAGAGUAAUACCAUUUCAUAUUAAUUCAUAUUUGUAUAUGUUAGAGCAUUUCCCCCUUCCCCUUCUUUGGUCUUUUGGGGACUGAAAUUUUGAGCUUUCUUUUUUUGUUUUAUUAUUUUUCAAUUUAGGAACUGGGUCAUGUUAGAAUCAGGCAACAUGUGAACCCUCUGAGUUCCUCGUUUUCUGUAAGUAUGAAACUUUUUUUUUAGGGUUUAGAUAUAUAAUAUCCUGGUAAUAUGUUUUAUUUUUUCAAUUAUGAUUAGAGUGAUAACAGAAGCAUCCUCUGAUUUUAGUUGUUGCUGCGUUUACUUAAGGAGAAGCGUUGCUUUCUUGAUAAAAUUUUGGUAGGCAGGUGCCAGCAAGAAUACCUGAUUGGAGGGAAGUCUUCAGGAACCCAACAUUACCACUCAUGGUGGAUAUUGGAAGUGGUAGCGUUUUUCGCCUUGUCCUUCCUUUUGCGUAUAUUUUGCUUGCUUCUCCAUUUUGACUGUUUUGGUAUUUAUAAGUUAACGAGGAUUAAUUUAGUUUGAUGGGGAUAUUAAGCUUCUGGCAUUUAGAGGAGCAAAUUAAAAGCUUAAAAAUUUAAGGUGAAGAAAUCCAAAAUCAUAUAGGAUUAAGGCCUAGGGUCUUUGGUUUAUUAUUUAGAAUAUGUUAUACAGAUAGGAAAGGUAUUUUUGGCUAGUGGCCCUGAAAAUUUUAUUACUACAUGAUUCUGUUCCUGAAUUAUGUGCUGAAGUAAAAGAAAAUCAUGCAGUCAAUUAUUCCAGUGGCGCAGAUUUUUCCUAGCAUUUGCUCCUAUUGUUAAUUCUGCCUUUCAAAAUUUGGAGUGGAAGGUUUCUCAUAUGGCUUGCAAAAAAGAAUCCAGAUUCAGCAAAUUAUUUGGGACUUGAAAUACGGCAAAAACUGGUCAAGCGUGCUGAACUCUGGGUAAAAGAGCUGGCUCUUGGUAACAUACACUUCCUGUUUGCAAAUGCUACAGUUUCCUUCAGGCAAUUGGUUCUUGAGUACCCUGGACCCUUGAUGUUUGUUUCAAUUUUGUGUCCAGACCCUCAUUUCAAGAAAAGGCAUCAUAAAAUGAAAUAUUGUGCAGAAGCCGUUUGUAGAUUUUAUCAUCAACAAUGUAUUGCCUGGAGGAAAGGUUUGUGCUCUAAACAUUCAUUAUUUUGAUAAGGAGGCUGACCUUUGUUUUUCCUCUUUGGCUUUGUAUUUCUCAUUAGUGAUCCUUCUAGAAUCUAGAGCCCAGGUAGGAAAUAUGUAUCUUUAUUCUCUGUUAUUUUUUAAACAGUCCAUCUCCAGAUAAUGCCUAAACUAUUUAGUAUUAUUUCCUUUGAUGAUAUGAAAGUCAAAGAAUUGUUCUGGAAAGUAGAGACCUGAAGUGAUGAGGUUUCAGUAAGGAACAUGCUUUGUUAGUCAGUCCUGCUAAGGACAUAGAAUAAUUAAAUGUUUGUUGCUGCUGCAAAAUGAUAUGCUGGAAAUGACUUUGAACAAUUUGGCAGCAGUUGUUGACAAUAUUCCCAAAUGCCAACUCAUGUAUAAUUGUUGUUUAACCAUAAGAUACAUUUGAUCUUUCUGAAGAAUAAAUUUGAUGAAUUAAUGAGUUGGUGGAAAUUUAGAAAUAUAAAUGAAAUAGGCAAGUAGCCAUAUCAGUAUUAAGAUGUAUUUGAAUUACAUGUUUAGCUUAAUGCAAAUUUUAAUAUAUAAAUGAGGAAUAAAGGUCUGGCAUGAGGAAAAAUAAAAAGAAACGAACAGAAGGAAGAAAGAAAAAAAAAAGUGCCCUGUUCUACACCAGAUCACUAAAGAAGCCAGAAUGAGAAAUAGAUUAAAAAUUAAACUAGGAGAAGACAAAAUUAUGGGUGUCUCUUGACAUUCAAUCUGAUUCUUCUGCCACACCAAAAUCUUAUGCCUGUUGAAGAAUAUGUAAUCUGCUUUGACACAGUGAGAUGAAUCUGUGUUCUUUUUCUUCUCCGUUACUUUUCUCUUCUCUUUUCUUUUAAGCUUAAUCUCCUUGCAUGGUAAGAUUGUGGAGUUAUUAGAAUUGUCGUUAGGUAUCUGGCAUAGAUUGUGCUUUUAUAUUAUAUCAUUUAAAAGUAAGGAAAUUUUACUGUUGAAAUCAAUCUCAUACAAACUCGCUUAAGUAUGCAAUCUUUAUACUUGUCUAGCAGUAUUUCUUAUUUUUUGUGAAUGUACCAGGUUUUUGUGCAGUCUGAUGUGCUUGAGGUGGCACUUGACAUGAGGAAUCAAUUUGAUGCAGAAUCACAUGUGCUUCAACACAUUGAUGAAACUGAUCCAAGCAAAUUGAUUGACGAUGAUGGAUGGCUUUUGAAUAAUCCAAUGGGAAUAAGGACUGAAAGAGAAAUCCAUGCAGAAUUUGAAGGUGCUAAAAUUUACAGAAGGUUGUACCAAAAGCGGACAUAAUAACAAGCUUUCUGCUAUUGCAAGUGUUCCAAGUUUGCGUAGGAGGUUUGAAAGUUCUUUAUAUAAUUCAAGCUCAUGCUUAUGAAAUUUGUGAAAUAUAGAGAGAUUUUUGCUCAUAUUCAUCAAUGUAUUUUUCUUGUAGCAAAAGAGAUAUGUCAGGUAUUCUUUCUUUCUUUCUUUUAUUCAAUACAAUUUUCAAGGGCUUACUCUAUAGUAUCUUGUUAUGUAUGUUUAUGGAAUUAUGAAACAAUUUGAACAUAAAGAACUGGCCUGUCUUUUUGCAUUCUCAUACUUGAUGAAAUGUGUGCCAUUAUUGGUGUUAUAUCAUUUUUCCCAGGUGAAAUUAUAAUAUACUCCUGAUGUGCUGAAGUUAUAUUACGACAGAACAUGUGCUUCGGAAAUACUGAAUAAUCUAUUAUUUUUUUCUCAGAAACUUCAGCCCUAAAGAAAAGUAAAUAAAAAGAAUCACCAUUUAGUUAGCGUUUCAUAGUUUAGCAGUUGGAAUGUUUCAAUUAGAUAAUGAAAAUUUAACAGCAUUUGGACUCCUU